UACGGAGGGUGCGAGCGUUAAUCGGAAUUACUGGGCGUAAAGCGCGCGUAGGCGGUUUGAUCAGUCCGUCGUGAAAGCCCUGGGCUUAACCUGGGAACUGCGGUGGAUACUGUCGGGCUAGAGUGUGGUAGAGGGGAGUGGAAUUUCCGGUGUAGCAGUGAAAUGCGUAGAGAUCGGAAGGAACACCAGUGGCGAAGGCGGCUCCCUGGACCAACACUGACGCUGAGGUGCGAAAGCGUGGGGAGCAAAC
rnacentral:rRNA from 1 species